rnacentral:rRNA from 1 species
ACGCUCGACACCUACGGAGGCAGCAGUGGGGAAUAUUGGGCAAUGGGCGCAAGCCUGACCCAGCAACGCCGCGUGAAGGAAGAAGGCUUUCGGGUUGUAAACUUCUUUUAUUAAGGACGAAACAAAUGACGGUACUUAAUGAAUAAGCUCCGGCUAACUACGUACCAGCAGCCGCGGUAAUCUGAGCGGGCUGGCAAGGC